UAAGCUUUAAAGGAAAUGUAAGCCAUAGUUAAGCGAGAAAUCAGAGUUCAAGAUUCUUAUUGAUGUGCUUCCAAAUUUGGCUUAUUUAUUGUGGUAAAUCGGAUAUGUUUAUCUGAAUUCAAAUAAAAGAAUAAAGCUUAAAAAUAAUGUCAUUAAGAAACUAACUAUGAACAAAUAAUAUCGUGAAGCUAGUUGUUUCUAAGUAUAAACGAUUGUGUAAAUCUCUUAUCGCAUAAAAAUAAUAGUCAUUUGAAAAUGAACCAUCAGUUUUUGUCUUUAUAAAGCUUUUGAAUGAUAACUAUAUAAGAUGCAAGUAAAAAAUUAAACGAAAACAUUACACUUAAUUGUUAGAAUGUUUUCCCGAUCACUCAAUCAAGUCUGUCUUCAAGGAGAAAUUAAAAAUAAUUAUGGACCGACUUAUGAGUAAAACUCUGUUUAUUCGCUAGAGGAAAAUGGGCUGAAAGUGUAGCUUUCGUCGUAAGCCGCCGUCAACCCUACGGCCUUGGCAAGUUGUCUUUUCCAAAGAGAUUGAUCGUUUUCGUCAUAGGAAACUCCGUAUCCCUUUAGAUAUCGAGUACAGUUCUCUUCUGACAAAGAAUCAAUGUCUUCGAUACGAGUAAUUCGAGGCAAAUUAGGGUCAGGAAUAUCGCCAUUAAAAAAGGGAACCUCAGUAAUAGGUUGAGCAAAACUUCUCAUAAUCAUGUUGUUAUUUCGAGAGAGCCUCAUGUCCAUACGAUCAACCUUUCUCGUCAAGUUUGACAAAUCGUUUCGCAUGUCUCGUUGAACAUCAAGGAUUUCUCGAACUAUAUUAAGAAGAUUUUCUAGGCGUUCAUCCGUCGACUUUCUCCACUCA